rnacentral:rRNA from 1 species
AUUGAACGCUGGCGGCAUGCCUUACACAUGCAAGUCGAACGGUAACGGGCCUUCGGGUGCCGACGAGUGGCGAACGGGUGAGUAAUACAUCGGAACGUGCCCGAUCGUGGGGGAUAACGAGGCGAAAGCUUUGCUAAUACCGCAUACGAUCUACGGAUGAAAGCAGGGGACCGCAAGGCCUUGCGCGGACGGAGCGGCCGAUGGCAGAUUAGGUAGUUGGUGGGAUAAAAGCUUACCAAGCCGACGAUCUGUAGCUGGUCUGAGAGGAUGAUCAGCCACACUGGGACUGAGACACGGCCCAGACUCCUACGGGAGGCAGCAGUGGGGUAUUUUGGACAAUGGGCGCAAGCCUGAUCCAGCCAUGCCGCGUGCAGGAUGAAGGCCUUCGGGUUGUAAACUGCUUUUGUACGGAACGAAAAGCCUUCUUUUAAUACAGGAGGGUCAUGACGGUACCGUAAGAAUAAGCACCGGCUAACUACGUG